UACAGAGGUCUCAAGCGUUUGUUCGGAUUCAUUGGGCGUAAAGGGCGCGCAGGCGGCCCGGAAAGUCGGAUGUGAAAACUCGAGGCUCAACCUCGAGCGUGCACCCGAUACUGUCGGGCUAGAGUCCGGAAGAGGCGAGUGGAAUUCCUGGUGUAGCGGUGAAAUGCGCAGAUAUCAGGAGGAACACCGAUGGCGAAGGCAGCUCGCUGGGACGGUACUGACGCUGAGGCGCGAAAGCGUGGGGAGCAAACAGG
rnacentral:rRNA from 1 species